rnacentral:misc_RNA from 1 species
CGCUUUCUGUCUCUUACUGCUUGUGCUGUGCUCGACAUUCUCCAGGCAUCGCUAAAUGCGCGUAUACAUAGUUGUCCCCUCUCCCCCCAUCAUCUGAGCACCUUGUGUAUCCCUCUUUCCUCGUAUAGAAACGGCGCUCACAUCGCCUAACCCCCGGGGGCACACCGGCUCACACCCUCACACGUCUUGUUGCGCUUCCUCUAGUUUGGUGCCCCCCUCCCCGCUAACCUCUCUCCAUUAAUAUAUAUCUGUAUAUAGAUGAAGGGAACCUCCGAGCAACGAUAUCUUGAGACUCCUGGAGACGCCGCGCGCACCUGGGAUGCCCACGCUGAGCAGCCUCACGGUGGCGGAGCAGGUGGCCGCCCUGCCGCCUCUCUCGCAACUUCUGGGUAUCGACCCACCAGGAGCAGCCAACCAUAAGACCAAAGACACAGGGAAGGCACCAGCAUGGCAGGUGUCGACUCGCACCGGUGCUUCUUGCGCCACCAAGGCCUCGUCCUCCCAUACACGGUCUGCGGUCACUCCUCGGCGACCGCCUUUAGACGCACCUCCAGGCGCGGCGCCAACCAUCAACUCGCUUGCGACUGCGGCGAAUCUUGAAGCGCCAUUGUGUUCAUCCAGCGCGCGCAAGGAGGAAGAGCUGCAAGCUGCGCCGUCCACGCUGUUGACAGAUGAAUGCAUCGGCGGCUUGCGCGAGUGGCGCCGCGUCCGGCAGUCACUGCAGCUACCGAUCGCGUACCGCGCCGAGGAGGACGUUCACCUUUCGCUGCGCCUGCUGCGUUCUCUCGCCCUCUUCGCACCUCUGCUGGACGACGACUUGCUGACGCUGGCCGAAACAAUGGAAGUAAUGGAGGUGACGGGCGCCGGCAAGGUUCUCCUGCGAAAAUGUGCCGCUGGUCAUGCGGCUCGCUUGCCAAGUAGAACGGGUGCCGCCGCUGAGGCGAUGGUAAAGACGCCUGCCGAUAGGCCGCCGCUGUCGCUGGAUGCGUUGCUCACACCGCCGUUGCUUGAUGACGAGGAGGAGCAGGAGCGGCCGCAGGGAGUUUGGACGAUGCCUGCAGCGCAACUCUUCCAGUGCUUCAGGGAGCAAAUGGGCCGCGGUGAGCCACCAUCGCUGCCAUCAGAGCGCACAGAAAACGUCGUUGGUCUUCACAUGGACGACGCACUGCCGCCGAUCACGGUGAAGGCGACGACAAGGCGCAGUGCCCAGAGAUCGCAGGGGCAGUCUACGGUAGGGUUGACGAGAGUACCUGCCACCGGCAUCACUACGGCGCCGCUCUUCUUUCCGGACGACGACACGCUCAACGGCGACGGAGCCUUUGCUUUAGUGCUGCUGAGCGGACACUGCCACCUCGAGUGGCCUCGUGAGCGCGGUCUGAUGGAGGAUUCGACACAGACGCCGCUGUGGCAGAGCUAUGAGCUUCAGCCGGGAGAUGCCAUGGGAUAUGCUCUGAUCUGGGGUGCCUUACCGCCUUGGGCGCAGUACGUGACGUCCGAGACGAUUACGCUGCUGAUAGUGAGUUCCGAGGGGCGACCUCCCGAGGUGGCGGCGCGCUUGCGGCGCGUGUGCCGCCGUGCCAACGAGGCGGUGCUCCGCGCGCAGCGACGAUUUCUCGCGCACGAGCUGCGCGUUCCCCUCUUCAACCCUGACGACAGUGCCAUGGGGAUGACGCGCGCCACCGUCACUGAUGUGGGUGAAGCACAGGAGGAGCAGGGGCCGCAAGGCCACGCAGCUGCUACGGUGGCGGAGGCCGCCGUCCCGUCUAUCGCGUCUCUUCUCGAUACAACGGCGCGGAACUUGAUUCCCAUUCGCAUCCCCACGCAUACGGUUUUGUUUCGCGAAGGACUCACCCCAGUGAAGGAGUGUGCCAUCUACUUCAUUCUCGACGGUGGCCUCGCCGUUGUCCGCCGCAUUUGGUCGCAGGACCAGCAAAGGCUCUUCUCCGAGCAGAUGCAACUCGUGCGCGCGUUGACGCCCGCCACCGGCAUUUGCCCGCCACUGUCGCCGCUGCCGGCGACGGACAGCAUGGAGGUGGCGCAGCUGCGGCGCGGUGACUAUUGUGGCGAUCUGGCCUACCUCAACGAGGACCCUGACCACGUAGCCUCGAUGGACGCCGAAUGGACGGCAGCGUACUGGCAGAGCACGCUGGCUCAGCCUACCGCACGAUCCAGCCAAGAUGGCAGACGUCGUGACACGGACGGACAGUGUUCUCGUGAUGUGACCGAUCAUGCCUCGGGUCGCGGCGCUAAUAGCUCUCUCUUCAGACGUCACAAGGCCACUGUGGUUGCCCAGCAAGCGUCAUCGCUCUAUGUGCUGCUUCCGCGUGCCGCGGACGAAGCGUUGGUUGGUGUGGUGGAGCAACGCAUGCGCGACCACGUCCACCGCGAGUACGCCGGCUACCGACAUGUCUUUGCCGAGUACGAGAAGCUGUACAAAUGGGCACUCUACAAGGAGCGCGUGUUGUAUGACGUGUCUCAGAAGGCCCCGGUGAACUUCCGUUAGCAGCCGCGUCUGAAAGACGAGGGAGCGUGCCGGAGUUGAGGAGGGGGGCACGCGUGCUUCUGUACACCCAAAGAGGAACAUGCACGUCCGUGUCCCUGCGUUUCCCACGGUACCUGCCUCGCGCCUCCUUCCUUCGACGUGGGUGCUUGCUUUACCGCUGCGCAUCUCUCGUCGUCCCUGAAAGACUCGUCUCGGCCGUGACACCGAUGUACGCUACUGACUUUCUUCUGUUUUUUUUUCCUUAUCCCCUCAUUGUUUACCUCCUCCGUGCCCACCGCGAAUGGACAGCGCGACGCCCGCGCAUGCAGAACACCUCUGACAUGCGCUCACUCUCACUCUCGCUCUCCUCCUCCUCCCCUUUUGUUUUCCCUCACGGCUGCUUCUGUUGGUGCUGCACCUCGGCGAGCCGUGUGUAUGGGGAGGGAGAUGGGAGGGAUAUAGGAGGGAAGGGGGGCUAUGCCGGGUCGUCGUAUCCAUUUUGUCUUUUGAGGGGUGGUGGUGGUAAUAGAUUGAGAGAGUUGUUGUGUCGUCAGCUCAUAUGGAGCUGGUUACGGUCCCCCUUUCGUAUACCUAUGCUCCUCACCCUCAUCGUGGCUCUCGCAGUACUUGAUGGACGUUCGCAUUGAAGAAACACAGACACAAACGGAGAGCGAGGGGCACACACGUGCCGCCGUUGCAGGGGUAUCGACUCCCGUGCUUCCUUGCCCCUCCUCCUUUCUCUCUCGCCUUCGCCGACACAUCAUACAUGUGUGCCGACUCCAAUCAUGCACGCCUCCGGUGGGGAGGAGGGAGCGGCACGGCUCAGUUCGCCAGAGCACAUCAUCAGCACCGAGCCGCGUCAGUGCGUAUGAGAGUGCGCGCAGCUUCUAUCACUUGUCUGCACGUUUCCAUCUUUUUUUUAUUUGCUGACGUAUGUUUUCGGUGAGGAUGGGGGUGGGAGUGGGGGUUGGGCUCCGCCACAUGGGCUCAAUUGCGGUGCGCGCGUGCUUGCGUUUUUCUGGUGGGUGGCCCUUGCGUGUCGCGAGGACUUGCGGCGAUCUGCGCGCGCGAACGACAG